UCCUGGUUUCCCAGGCAGUCCCAUCAGAGUGCUUUGCUUACGCAAGUGGCAACUGACAGUAGGGGUUGCGCUCGUUAAAGGACUUAACCCAACAUCUCACGACACGAGCUGACGACAACCAUGCAGCACCUGUGUACCUGUCUGAACCGAAGCCCAGAAGAUCGUAUUUCUACGACGGUCAAAUACAUGUCAAAUCCAGGUAAGGUUCCUCGCGUAGUGUCGAAUUAAACCACAUGUUCCACCGCUUGUGCGGGCCCCCGUCAAUUCCUUUGAGUUUUAAUCUUGCGACCGUAGUCCCCAGGCGGAUCACUUAGCGCGUUAGCUACGACACCAAUCCUGUAAAACAGGACUGACGUCUAGUGAUCAUCGUUUACGGCGUGGACUAC
rnacentral:misc_RNA from 1 species